AUGGCCAGUUGUUGGAAAGAUUUUUUGGUUGGGGAUGGGCUCGCGGCCUAUCAGCUUGUUGGUGAGGUAAUGGCUCACCAAGGCGUCGACGGGUAGCCGGCCUGAGAGGGUGACCGGCCACACUGGGACUGAGACACGGCCCAGACUCCUACGGGAGGCAGCAGUGGGGAAUAUUGCACAAUGGGCGGAAGCCUGAUGCAGCAACGCCGCGUGAGGGAUGACGGCCUUCGGGUUGUAAACCUCUUUUAGCAGGGAAGAAGCGAAAGUGACGGUACCUGCAGAAAAAGCGCCGGCUAACUACGUGCCAGCAGCCGCGGUAAUACGUAGGGCGCAAGCGUUAUCCGGAAUUAUUGGGCGUAAAGAGCUCGUAGGCGGUUUGUCGCGUCUGCUGUGAAAUCCCGGGGCUCAACCCCCAGCCUGCAGUGGGUACGGGCAGACUAGAGUGCGGUAGGGGAGAUUGGAAUUCCUGGUGUAGCGGUGGAAUGCGCAGAUAUCAGGAGGAACACCGAUGGCGAAGGCAGAUCUCUGGGCCGUAACUGACGCUGAGGAGCGAAAGGGUGGGGAGCAAACAGGCUUAGAUACCCUGGUAGUCCACCCCGUAAACGUUGGGAACUAGUUGUGGGGUCCAUUCCACGGAUUCCGUGACGCAGCUAACGCAUUAAGUUCCCCGCCUGGGGAGUACGGCCGCAAGGCUAAACUCAAAUGAAUUGACGGGACCCGCACAGCGGCCGGAGCAUGCGGAUUAAUUCGAUGCACGCGAAGACCUUACCAUGCUUGACUAUACGAGAACUGGCCAGAAAU
rnacentral:rRNA from 1 species